GUGCCAGCAGCCGCGGUAAUACGGAGGCUGCAAACGUUGUUCGGAUUUACUGGGCGUAAAGAGUUCGUAGGCGGUUGGGAUUAAUUAGACGUGAAAUACUUUGGCUUACCCAAAGAAUUGCAUCUAAUAUUACCCGACUUGAGUAUGAGAGGGGAGAGUAGAAUUGUAGGUGGAGCGGUGAAAUGCGUAGAUAUCUACAAGAAUACCGGAGGCGAAGGCGGCUCUCUAGUUCAUCACUGACGCUGAGGAACGAAAGCUAGGGGAUCAAACAGGAUUAGAUACCCUGGUAGUCCUAGCCGUAAACGAUGGAUACUAGUCGUGGGCUUCGUUAAGAGGUCCGUGAUGUAGCUAACGCGUUAAGUAUCCCGCCUGGGGAGUACGGUCGCAAGGCUAAAACUUAAAUGAAUUGACGGGG
rnacentral:rRNA from 1 species